AGUGAACGCUGGCGGUAGGCCUAACACAUGCAAGUCGAACGGCAGCACAGUAAGAGCUUGCUCUUACGGGUGGCGAGUGGCGGACGGGUGAGGAAUACAUCGGAAUCUACUUUUUCGUGGGGGAUAACGUAGGGAAACUUACGCUAAUACCGCAUACGACCUACGGGUGAAAGCAGGGGAUCUUCGGACCUUGCGCGAUUGAAUGAGCCGAUGUCGGAUUAGCUAGUUGGCGGGGUAAAGGCCCACCAAGGCGACGAUCCGUAGCUGGUCUGAGAGGAUGAUCGCCCACACUGGAACUGAGACACGGUCCAGGGUCCUACGGGAGGCAGCAGUGGGGAAUAUUGGACAAUGGGCGCAAGCCUUAUCCAGCCAUCCCGCGUGGGUGACGAAGGCCUUCGGGUUGUAAAGCCCUUUUGUUGGGAAAGAAAAGCAGCAGGUUAAUACCCCGCUGUUCUGACGGUACCCAAAGAAUAAGCACCGGCUAACUUCGUG
rnacentral:rRNA from 1 species